AUGUAGGGCAAUCUGUCUUUAAGUAGGGAUAAAUUACUCCUGAACAAAAUGAUCCUAGAUAGUUUUCCCUUCAGGUCAAGUGUUUUGU
rnacentral:pre_miRNA from 1 species